rnacentral:rRNA from 1 species
CAGUCGCCGCGGUAAUACGUAGGGUGCAAGCGUUAAUCGGAAUUACUGGGCGUAAAGCGUGCGCAGGCGGUUUGUUAAGACAGAUGUGAAAUCCCCGGGCUCAACCUGGGAACUGCAUUUGUGACUGGCAAGCUAGAGUCUGGCAGAGGGGGGUGGAAUUCCGCGUGUAGCAGUGAAAUGCGUAGAUAUGCGGAGGAACACCGAUGGCGAAGGCAGCCCCCUGGGCCAACACUGACGCUCAUGCACGAAAGCGUGGGGAGCAAACAGGAUUAGAUACCCCUGUAGUCCCUGUCUCUUAUAC